UGGGUAGAACAUUUGUUUCCUGAUGGAGAAUGGAUUUUUACUUCAUAAAAGGAUGAGAUAGUCAAAUCCAAAUUUGUCCCACUUUGUUGCCGUAUCUCAAUUAUGGGUGUUGUUCUCAAUCUUCUUUUCAAAAGGGCUAUUAUGAUCCCUUUCUUCCUUAUUAAUGUUUAUUCUUACUCAAUUAGUUUUUAUCCUCUCUUUUUUCCACUCUUCCAAAAAAAUCAAACAAAAAGACCCUCCCUAAUUCUAGUUUAGUCUAUCUAUAACAUGUCGUGUCACUACAACUAGAGGUGUCAAUUUAACCCAUGGCUCCAGGGCCAGCCCCAACCCACUAUUGAAAAAGCCCUAUUUUAAGAAGCCCCUUAAGUAGGGGGCCAGAAAAAAGCCCCAACCCCCAAAACCCCCUCUCAAGUGGGUUAGGGUCAGGGUUAAAGUGGGUUUAGCCCCACUCCAAAACUUUAAUUAAAUUUUAG
rnacentral:lncRNA from 1 species